CUUCAGAGGAGUUAGCGAAAUUCCAAUGUGUGCAAAUCGCCAAAAACUGCGAAAUUGCCCUUUAACCGUACAUUUUACAGAUACGUGCCCAUUGACUUUUUCGUAGAUCUUAUUGAAAUACACGUGUAUGUCAAAUUUUGUGUCAAUAUGACAAAGCGCAUAGGCGUGAAUCUCAACAAUAUGUACUUUCACCUUAAAGGACAAGAAAAAAUGGACUUUUUUCUCCUGCCAUGGGGGGGCGCUCUUUUGGGGAGAAAAAAUUCCUUCACAAAUGUGUUGAUGGCUGGACAUUGCAUCAUCCUAGAAAACUUGGAGGCCAGUGAGGACAAAAAUAAAAAGUUAUGACUUUUAAAUAUGUGGAUUUUAGGGUUAUAUUUGGCGCCCCCUAGAACCUAAACCGUGGGGUGCAGGGUCAUGAUUUGAAUAACUUUUAAUGGCCAUGGGGUGUAGAUUGGCCUGAGCAAAUGUGGUGCCGGCGGAACGAAAGCCUUAGGAGGAGUUAGCCACAUUCCAAUGUGUGCAGAUCGGCAAAAAAUGCGGAAUAACCCUUUAACCGUACAUUUGACAGAUACGCGCGCACUGACUUUUUUGUAGAUCUUAUUGAGAUACAUGUGUGUGUCAAUUUUUGUGUCAUUUUGCCAAAGCGUACAGGCGUGACACUCAACAAUGUGUAUUUUCACCUUAAAGGACAAGAAAAAAUUGACUUUUUUCUCCUGCCAUGGGGGGGGGGCGCUCUUUUGGGGAUUAAAAAUUCCUUCACAAAUGUGUUGAUGGCUGGACAUUGCAUCAUCCUAGAAAACUUGGAGGCCAGUGAGGGCAAAAAUAAAAAGUUAUAAGACUUUUAAAUAUGUGGAUUUUAGGGUUAUUUUUGGCGCCCCCUAGAACCUAAACUGUGGGGUGCAGCGUCAUGAUUUGAAUAACUUUUAAUGGCCAUGGGGUGUAGAUUGGCCUGAGCAAAUGUGGUGCCGGUGGAACGAAAGCCUUCGGAGGAGUUAGCGAAAUUCCAAUGUGUGCAGAUCGGCAAAAAAUGCUAAAUAACCCUUUAACCGUACAUUUGACAAAUACGCCCGCACUGCCUUUUUUGUAGAUCUUAUUGAGAUACAUAUGUGUGUCAAUUUUUGUGUCAAUAUGACAAAGCGUACAGGCGUGACAGUCAAUAGUGUGAAUUUCCACCUUAGGGGGCGCUAUGGAGCCAUUUUGCAUUUUAUUGUUUGGGCGACUUCAGAAUAUCGAAUUUUUCACCAGGCCCGGUCGUCCUGCCAAGUUUCAUGAGUUUUCGCCAGUGGGAAGUGCGCCAAAGAUAACCCUAAGAUCCACAUAUUUAAAAGUCUUAUAACUUUUUAUUUUUGCCCUCACUGGCCUCCAAGUUUUCUAGGAUGAUGCAAUGUCCAGCCAUCAACACAUUUGUGAAGGAAUUUUUACUCCCCAAAAGAGCGCCCCCCCAUGGCAGGAGAAAAAAGUCCAUUUUUUCUUGUCCCCUAAGGUGAAAAUACACAUUGUUGAGUGUCACGCCUGUACGCUUUGUCAUAUUGACACAAAAUUUGACACACACAUGUAUCUCAAUAAGAUCUACGAAAAAGUCAAUGCGCGCGUAUCUGUCAAAUGUAUGGUUAAAGGGUUAUUCCGCAUUUUUUGGCGAUCCGCACACAUUGGAAUUUCGCUAACUCCUCUGAAGGCUUUCGUUCCACCGGCACCACAUUUGCUCAGGCCAAUCUACACCCCAUGGCCAUUAAAAGUUAUUCAUAUCAUGACGCUGCACCCCACGGUUUAGGUUCUAGGGGGCGCCAAAGAUAACCCUAAAAUCCACAUAUUUCAAAGUCUUAUAACUUUUUAUUUUUGUCCUCACUGGCCUCCAAGUUUUCUAGGAUGAUGCAAUGUCCAGCCAUCAACACAUUUGUGAAGGAAUUUUUACUCCCCAAAAGAGCGCCCCCCCAUGGCAGGAGAAAAAAGUCAAUUUUUUCUUGUCCCGUAAGGUGAAAAUUCACAUUGUUGAGUGUGACACCUGUACGCUUUGUCAUAUUGACACAAAAUUUGACAAUCACGUGUAUCUCAAUAAGAUCUACGAAAAAGUCAAUGGGUGCGUAUCUGUCAAAUGUACGGUUAGAGGGCUAUUUUGCAUUUUUGGCCGAUUCGCACACAUUGGAAUGUGGCUAACUCCUCCUAAGUCUUUCGUCCCACUGAAACCAAAUUUGCUCAGGCCAAUCUACACCCCAUGGCCAUUCAAAGUUGUAAAAAUCAUGACGCUGCACCCCACGGUUUACGUUCUAGGGGGCGCCAAAGAUGACCCAAAAAUCCACAUUCUUAAAAGUCAUUUUGGCCACUGCAGGAGUACAGAGUACUGCAGUUCUAGGGGGCGCCAAAGAUGACCCAAAAAUCCACAUUCUUAAAAGUCUUUUUGGCCACUGCAGGAGUACAGAGUACUGCAGGAUACACACACAUAUACACACACGCCAACAUACACACACACACACACACACACACACACACACACACACACACACACUCAGAGUCUGUUUUUUAGCACCUGCAAAAACAUGCUGUUUACAUAUUUGACAAGAAUGCAGAGGCUUCCUUUUGCCCCUGAAAAAAAUCAAAUUUCGAACACAACUUGACUGUUCAUUUCUCCAAAAGACAACCAUGAAGCUCCAUUUCAAACCUGAAGCAGAUAGUUGGUGCAUGUGUACAGUAACCUGAGGGGAGUGAAGUGACUAUUUCUGAGGAGAACAUGAGCAGUGAAGAUUCACCUUGGAGCUAGAACAGGGACGUGCACAUGAUUAUAAAGGGGCAGGGGCUCAAGUUUUUUCCAGUCAUUUAUACAAUAUGGAAAUUAAUGUGAAAUUAAACCACAAAUAUGUGUGAUGAACUGUUUUUAAAACUUAAACUUCAAAUAAAAAUUGUAAACUUCAAAACAUAUGCAAAUUUUUAACAAAGAACAUAGUGAUUUACCUCUAUUUACAUCAAAAUGCAGGCAAUGGCCCAGGCGUUCUUUGUAAAAUUAUUUACAAAACACUGUAUAGUCUCACAAAUGUCACUUUUUAUUUAUGCCACUACAAAAAAACAUGAUGUAAAUGAUGCAUGAUGUAAAACAUGAUGUAAAAAACUUGUGUAGAUCCUCCUCUAUGUCAGUCCAUGUGUAAUUUUUCCAUAAUUCUUUGUUUUUUGCAGCAUUUUUGUUAGUGUAACUGCAGAUUGUGCUGACAGUGUCUAUGGCACAAAAAAAAAAAAAAAUUAAAAUGCCUCAACAUGAACCCCUGGUGGUCUCUGAGGGUGAAACCUGCUAACUGCUGCAGCUCUGUCAGCUUCAGUCUCCCAUGCAGAGCUCUGAGCGCAUGUGUGGCUCUGCACCCUUAGCAGCGUUGCUAACUCCUCAGUAAGGAAAGCCUGCUUCAUGUCAGAGUCUCUAAACUCCAGAAGAAGUCGAUAAAAGUCCCUUUCUUUCUAAAAAAAAGUCGUUAGGGGGUCUGAAAAGUCAUUGAAUCUAACAACAAAGUCGCUAGGUUUGCAACUACGUGUCCCAGACUGCAUCCCUGCUGAGAGUCCCUCCCUCCCUUCUCAUGUUGCAGGAAGAACGUAAGCGCCCUCCCCUUGUCAAUCAGUCACCAUAUAAUUUUGGAUUGGUUGUUGUGGUGAAGUUUUCCACCAAUAGGAGAGAUGUUGUGGUGUGUUUUUUUUUUCUUUUGGCAAGCCUUUUCCGCCUGUAAGACCUGUCGCUAAUGUCUGCAUGCUAUGUUUUCCUGUCUCAUACAGCGCGAUCGAGCGCCGAACGUGAUCAAAAUAAGCAGAAAAAAAGUAUCGCAGACAUAAUUUAUCAUAACUCUGGUUUUAUUUGGCCUAUCAACACAAUUUAAAAACUGGUAUAUAGGUUGAGGUCCUCACUUUUGAGAUAAGUUGAAACGGAGAGUCAACGAGGCUCCGUCUUGCAGCUACAUCCGGUUAAAUAUGUCAUGUGACUUGAACGCACACACAGACACACACACACGCACACACACACACACACACACACACACUCAGAGUCUGGUUUUUAGCACCUGCAAAAACAUGCUAUGUACAUAUUUGACAAGAAUGCAGAGGCUCCUUUUGCCCCUGAAAAAAAUCAAAUUUCAAACACAACUUGACUGCUCAUUUCUCCAAAAGACAACCAUGAAGCUCCAUCCAAACCUGAAGCUGGCAGUUGGUGCAUGUGUACAGUAACCUGAGGGGAGUGAGGUGAGUGCUUCUGAGGAGAACAUGAGCAGUGAAGAUUCACCUUGGAGCUAGAACAGAGACAUGCACAUGAUUAUACAGGGGCAGGGGCUCAAGUUUUUUCCAGUCGUUUAUACAAUAUGGAAAUUAAUGUGAAAUUAAAACACAAAGUAUUAAUAGAAAGGUAAUGACUGUCCUGUGUAGGUGACAGUGAUAUCCAAUAGGCUAGGCACUCACGAGGCUGGCUGUGGCAAGUGUAAGUGAAAGCAACACGCACUGGCAGGAAGAACAGCAAACGCCGAUGAAGGAAAAGGGUCUUUGCAGUGAUGGGCGUUACCAGAGAGGGCGAUGGCCAGAGGACACAAAUGGGACGGGGAGGCAGCGCGUUGGGGGGGGGGGGGGGGCGACACGGCUCGGGCCCGCCAGUGCCCCAACGGGGCCCUAGUUAGGGCCCGAGCGUAGCUGCUAAGCAGCUGCGAGAGCCCUCUUGUUCCUGAUGGAUUCUUCUUUCGUUAUUUUUCCUCCGCUUUAAACUGGAAAAUGGCCCACUUCCCACUGGCGAAAACUCAGGAAAUUUGGCAGGACGACCGGGCCUGGUGAAAAAUUUGAUAUUCUGAAGUCGCCCAAACAAAAAAAUGAAAAAUGGCUGCAUAGCGCCCCCUAUGGUGAAAACUCACCUGACGCCUGUACACUUUGUCAAAAUGACACAAAAUUUGACACACAUGUGUAUCUCAAUAAGAUCUACAAAAAAGUCAGUGCAGGCGUAUCUGUCAAAUGUACCGUUAAAGGGCUAUUUCGCAUUUUUUGCCGAUCCGCACACAUUGGAAUUUCGCUAACUCCUCCGAAGGCUUUCGUUCCACCGGCACCACAUUUGCUCAGGCCAAUCUACACCCCAUGGCCAUUAAAAGUUGUACAAAUCAUGAUGCUGCACCCCACGGUUUAGGUUCUAGGGGGCGCCAAAGAUAACCCAAAAAUCCACAUUCUUAAAAGUCUUAUAACUUUUUAUUUUUGUCCUCACUGGCCUCCAGGUUUUCUAGGAUGAUGCCAUGUCAAGCCAUCAACACAUUUGUGAAGGAAUUUUUACUCCCCAAAAGAGCGCCCCCCCAUGGCAGGAGAAAAAAGUCAAGUUUUUCUUGUCCCCUAACAUGAAAAUACACAUUGUUGAGUGUCACGCCUAAACGCUUUGUCAUAUUGACAAAAUAUUUGACAAUCACGUGUAUCUCAAUAAGAUCUACAAAAAAGUCAUAGAGCGCGUAUCUGUAUAAUGUACGGUUAAAGGGCUAGUUUGCAUUUUUUGCCGAUCCGCACACAUUGGAAUUUCGCUAACUCCUCCGAAGGCUUUCGUUCCACCGGCACCAAAUUUGCUCAGGCCAAUCUACACCCCAUGGCCAUUAAAAGUUGUACAAAUCAUGACGCUGCAACCCACGGUGAAGGUUCUAGGGGGCGCCAAAGAUAACCCAAAAAUCCACAUUCUUAAAAGUCUUAUAACUUUUUAUUUUUGUCCUCACUGGCCUCCAAGUUUUCUAGGAUAAUGCAAUGUCCAGCCAUCAACACAUUUGUGAAGGAAAUUUUACUCCCCAAAAGAGCGCCCCCCCAUGGCAGGAGAAAAAAGUCUAUUUUUUCUUGUCCCCUAAGGUGAAAAUACACAUUGUUUAGUGUCACGCCUGUACGCUUUGGCAAAAUGACACAAAUAUUAACACACACAUGUAUCUCAAUAAGAUCUACGAAAAAGUCAAUGCGCGCGUAUCUGUCAAAUGUACGGUUAAAGGGUUAUUCCGCAUUUUUUGCCGAUCCGCACACAUUGGAAUGUGGCUAACUCCUCCUAAGGCUUUCGUUCCACCGGCACCACAUUUGCUCAGGCCAAUCUACACCCCAUGGCCAUUAAAGGUUAUUCAAAUCAUGACGCUGCACCCCACGGUUUAGGUUCUAGGGGGCGCCAAAGAUAACCCUAAAAUCCACAUAUUUAAAAGUCUUAUAACUUUUUAUUUUUGUCCUCACUGGCCUCCAAGUUUUCUAGGAUGAUGCAAUGUCCAGCCAUCAACACAUUUGUGAAGGAAUUUUUACUCCCCAAAAGAGCGCCCCCCAUGGCAGGAGAAAAAGUCCAUUUGUUCUUGUCCCCUAAGGUGAAAAUACAUAUUGUUGAGAUUCACGCCUAUACGCUUUGUCAUAUUGACACAAAAUUUGACAAUCACGUGCCUUGCCUGGUAUCAUUUUUUUCAGCACAACCUCACCUGUGCGAAUUUACAGUUAUUUUAUCAUGUUGACAUACUGAAUUUACACAAUGGACCCAAAUUCACACACAAAACAUAAAAUCCGAGUGGAAAAAAGUAACAUUUUUACUGUGAAAACCACAAAUAUGUGUGAUGAACUGUUUUUAAAACUUAAACUUCAAAUAAAAAUUGUAAACUUCAAAACAUAUGCAAAUUUUUAACAAAGAACAUAGUGAUUUACCUCUAUUUACAUCAAAAUGCAGGCAAUGGCCCAGGCGUUCUUUGUAAAAUUAUUUACAAAACACUGUAUAGUCUCACAAAUGUCACUUUUUAUUUAUGCCACUACAAAAAAACAUGAUGUAAAUGAUGCAUGAUGUAAAACAUGAUGUAAAAAACUUGUGUAGAUCCUCCUCUAUGUCAGUCCAUGUGUAAUUUUUCCAUAAUUCUUUGUUUUUUGCAGCAUUUUUGUUAGUGUAACUGCAGAUUGUGCUGACAGUGUCUAUGGCACAAAAAAAAAAAAAAUUAAAAUGCCUCAACAUGAACCCCUGGUGGUCUCUGAGGGUGAAACCUGCUAACUGCUGCAGCUCUGUCAGCUUCAGUCUCCCAUGCAGAGCUCUGAGCGCAUGUGUGGCUCUGCACCCUUAGCAGCGUUGCUAACUCCUCAGUAAGGAAAGCCUGCUUCAUGUCAGAGUCUCUAAACUCCAGAAGAAGUCGAUAAAAGUCCCUUUCUUUCUAAAAAAAAAGUCGUUAGGGGGUCUGAAAAGUCAUUGAAUCUAACAACAAAGUCGCUAGGUUUGCAACUACGUGUCCCAGACUGCAUCCC